GGUAGUAGCAAAUACUCAAGCGAGAUCCUUGAGGGCCGAGUGUGGAGAAGGGUUCCAUGUGAACAGCCGUUGCACAUGGGUCAGUCGAUCCUAAGCCCUAGGGUAGUUCCGCUCCGAGCGGAGGCGUCGGCCCGGAUCUUUCGGGAAUCGGGUCACGCCCCUUGGGCGAAAGGGAAUCGGGUCAAUAUUCCCGAACCCGAAGGCGGAGCCCGCCGUCCUUGCGGCGGCCGAACGCUGCGAAGCGAACGAGCCCGGAGACACUGGCCGGGGCCCCGGGAAGAGUUGUCUUUUCUUGUUAAGGAGCGGGAUCCCUGGAAUCGGUUCGACCGGAGAGAGGGUCUGCGGCUCCGUAGAGCGCCGCGUCUACCGCGGCGUCCGGUGCGCUCCGGCUGGUCCUUGAAAAUCCGGGGGAAGUGUUGGGACUCUCGCCUCGGGUCGUACCCAUGACCGCAGCCGGUCUCCAAGGUGAAUAGCCUCUGGCC
rnacentral:ncRNA from 1 species